UAGGGAAUCUUCGGCAAUGGGGGCAACCCUGACCGAGCAACGCCGCGUGAGUGAAGAAGGUUUUCGGAUCGUGAAGCUCUGUUGUAAGAGAAGAACGAGUGUGAGAGUGGAAAGUUCACACUGUGACGGUAACUUACCAGAAAGGGACGGCUAACUACGUGCCAGCAGCCGCGGUAAUACGUAGGUCCCGAGCGUUAUCCGGAUUUAUUGGGCGUAAAGCGAGCGCAGGCGGUUAGAUAAGUCUGAAGUUAAAGGCUGUGGCUUAACCAUAGUACGCUUUGGAAACUGUUUAACUUGAGUGCAGAAGGGGAGAGUGGAAUUCCAUGUGUAGCGGUGAAAUGCGUAGAUAUAUGGAGGAACACCGGUGGCGAAAGCGGCUCUCUGGUCUGUAACUGACGCUGAGGCUCGAAAGCGUGGGGAGCAAACAGGAUUAGAUACCCUGGUAGUCCACGCCGUAAACGAUGAGUGCUAGGUGUUGGGUCCUUUCCGGGACUCAGUGCCGCAGCUAACGCAUUAAGCACUCCGCCUGGGGAGUACGACCGCAAGGUU
rnacentral:rRNA from 1 species